UACGGAGGGAGCUAGCGUUGUUCGGAAUUACUGGGCGUAAAGCGCACGUAGGCGGCUUUGUAAGUUAGAGGUGAAAGCCCGGGGCUCAACUCCGGAACUGCCUUUAAGACUGCAUCGCUUGAAUCCGGGAGAGGUGAGUGGAAUUCCGAGUGUAGAGGUGAAAUUCGUAGAUAUCGUAAGGAAGACCAGUGGCGAAGGCGGGUCUCUGGACAGUUCCUGACGCUGAGGCACGAAGGUCAGGGGAGCAAACGGG
rnacentral:rRNA from 1 species